rnacentral:rRNA from 1 species
CACGUAGGGUGCGAGCGUUGUCCGGAAUUAUUGGGCGUAAAGAGCUCGUAGGCGGUGUGUCGCGUCGGCCGUGAAAACCUGCAGCUUAACUGUGGGCUUGCGGUCGAUACGGGCAUCACUGGAGUUCGGCAGGGGAGACUGGAAUUCCCGGUGUAGUGGUGAUAUGCGUAGAUAUCAGGAGGAACACCGGUGGCGAAGGCGGCUACCUGGACAGAAACUGACGCUGAGGCGCGAAAGCUAGGGGAGCAAACAGG